CAGCAGCCGCGGUAAUGCGGAGGGGGCUAGCGUUGUUCGGAAUUACUGGGCGUAAAGCGCACGCAGGCGGCUUGGUAAGUUAGAGGUGAAAGCCCGGAGCUCAACUCCGGAAUUGCCUUUAAGACUGCCGAGCUAGUAGGUGAGAGAGGUAAGUGGAAUUCCGAGUGUAGAGGUGAAAUUCGUAGAUAUUCGGAAGAACACCAGUGGCGAAGGCGGCUUACUGGCUCAUUCUAGACGCUGAGGUGCGAAAGCGUGGGGAGCAAACAGGAUUAGAGACCCGCGUAGUCCCUGUCUCUUAUAC
rnacentral:rRNA from 1 species